GGAAAUACAAUCCCAAGAUACUUUACCUUGACAAGCAACCAGGAACAAUAUCAACAUCAAGUCAUGGGAUUUGGAGAAAGAGCUGUGUUGCUGUUUAUGAAUCACUGUUGGAUGAGACUCUAAGAACUGAAGAGGAGUAAUCAGUAAUAAACCUCAAACCUUUGGAGGCUAUUGGCUGCCCAUCAGCACUGCAAAUUUUGGGUACUCUACUUUGUGUACCCAAACAGAAAGAUAUUGGGAGUACCUCUGAGGAUGGGCAUUCCCAUUUACCAUGAGCUACCAUGGGAGCAUUCCCCCACUGAGGUGGGUCUCUAGGCUGGCAUAUGCCUAAAGAAACAAGUCACCAUGAAGCAACACAAGCAGAGGCAAUAUGUGGUUUUUUUACUCUGCAAACAAAAGCAUACCAUGCAGCCAGCAUCCUCAGGCACUGCUGUCCCCACAGAGCUCCUGGAUGGACAAGAGGAGUUCCCUGGAGUGGAGGAAGGUAGGAAUGGAAAGUUUUCCUGAAUGUGUGUUCAUCCCUCUAUAACCAUCCAUACCUGGAGCCAGGGCACUGAAGGGAGCUGUGCUGAAUCACCCAGCUGGAACCUCCUUUUCUUUCGGCAUUUCAAAACCUAAGUGGACUUCCUAAAGGAGGCAUGUCUGGUCUCACACCGUGCUCCAGCAGCAGUGGCCAGAGAGCUCUGUUCUGCAAGGCAAAGCAUGUGUGCUCGCCACAUUGUCUUUCACGGUCUUCUUGUGGAAUCAGGUCAGUUAUAUUUUCAUGGCCUAAUUCAGCCUUGCAGAGGUGAGCUGCCUGUAAUAAUAGAUGCUGUUCAUCUUUUUGCCAGCUUCAGACUGAGCUGUUAUUUAUGAUGUUAGACUCUUAACGUAAACUUAUUUGUAAGUAACUCCAAAGAAAGUGAAGCUUUUAUGGGAGAGGGGGAAAAUGCUUGGAUCAGAAUCAGUUUGGUUUUGCUGCUUCUCUCUUUCUUUUCUAAUAUGGGAAGAUAAGAAAACGUAUUGAUUUAUUACUUACUCAUUAAGACUGAGUUGCUGGAGAGACAGGAGAAUGACAGUCUUUUUGUGAAGCCUCUCUGAGGAUGAUGAAUGUCAAGCACUUCACUGAGCCCAGAUCUAUCGUUUUGGUUUCUCUUGGACAUUGUUGGUCUUCUAUGAAUUUACAGCAAUAGUGGAUUUGGUGUUUUCACAAUGUGUUCCUCUCUGAUCACUGUGAACGUUGAGCCUGAGUUAGGGAAGUAGCCAUGGAUAGGACUGUCAACUUCUCCCCUUCAUGCAAAAUUAUUCUGUGGGGAGAGGGAAUGCUUAAGCUGAGUGGUGGGUUGCAUGAGCUGUCAGCGCAAUGGUCACAGCCACAUAACUUAUCAGAUAUUGUCUUGAUCAUAACGCUUUUAUUCAAACAUCCUUAUGCACAUAAAAUGA
rnacentral:lncRNA from 7 species